GGAUCCCCCCACUCCGACUUCUCUGAAGCCGCUGCCUUCCCUGGGAAGAUGCUGUCUGCUUGUCAGCGGGGUGUGAGUCACGGAGCAGGGACAGGCUGCCGAGGCACAGAAGGCCAUUCCUCCAGCCAAGGCUCCCAGGGGACCUCAUUUGGGGGCCACCAUCCAUUCAGUCCCCAUGUGUCCUGGAUGCACCAGAGGUUCUGAGUCUCAGACCCCCGCUGGCCUGCCUGGGCCUUUGCUGUGGCCACUGGCCCCUGCACUUGGUCGCUUACUCCUGGUGACGCGAGGAGGCCCAGCCCUGAGUGGGAUUCCAAGGGACUUGGGGUGCCCAGGGCUCUGCUUGGACUCUGACCUGGAGAUCGAGGGGAUGCUGUCCAUUCAUUCAUUCAACAAACCGCGCCCACUGCGUACCUGCGCUGGGUACCAUGGAGAACACACUGGACGAGCCUUGACCUAGGGCUGCGCGAGCCCCUGCGUGACAGAGCACAGAGGUGCGGCCCGUGGAGGGAGGGAGCUGGGUCAGGAAGGCUGCCCCCGGGCAGACACCUCAGGCCGAGCUCGAGCUCGGAAGGCGAGGCCUGCGCGGAGCUGCAGGGCCUGAGGCCUGGGGGCUGAGGGAGUCCGGAGAGACUGAUGCCGACGGCUCCUGGGUGCUGUCAGGCCUCUUUGUGGACCUGCAGGUCUGGGGAGGCCUGGUCUCUCACCCGUGGCAUGUCCACUGCCUGCCCCGUCUGGCACUCCGGGGGCCUUGGCCCCUGAGCGUGGCUGUGUUGGAAGGCCCUGGAGGGAAGCGGCUCAGGAUGUGGCUCUCGGGACUCAGGCAUUUCCCAUGUCCCACCCCGCACCCGGCUCCUCUGACGUCCACUGGACAGCCCUCCUCUGCCACCCUGCCUCUGACAACCUCACCGUUGGAGGGAGUUGGGAAGGAGACCCUGGGCUUCCUCCUGGCCCCGGGGGCUCAUCUCACUCCACCCUCAGACGGGUUUGUCUGCCCUCCUGCCCUCCUGCCCAGGGUGGACGCUGCAGCUGCCCACUGUGCCUCCUGCCCCCAAACCACAUGGGCAGCAGGGUGCCCCAGAGCUUCCCUUGAGCCCUAUGCUGUUGUGUGCGGGGCCCGGGGCGCUGCCUGGCCGCCCCUGUCCUUGGCGGAGGCUCUGGGUGCCUGGG